UGUGGGUGUGUGUGUGUGUGUGUGUGUGUGUGUGUGUGUGUGUGUGUGUGUGUGUGUGUGUAUGUGUGACUGGUCAAAGUCAGAGGAAAGGGUCUGUUUUUCCAGGGGUUCUACAGGCAAUGAAGUAGCGGAAUUUAGGCUAUCGGUUAGAGCGUUGGGCCAGUAAACAAAAGGUCACUAGUUCAAAUCCUAGAGCUGACAAGGUGAAAAAUAUUUUGAUCUGCACUUGAGCAAGGCACUUAAUCCUAAUUGCUUCCGGUUUUGCUGUUGAUAAUGGCUGGUCCUGGCUGGGACCAUGCUCUCAGCUGAAGUUAAGGUAUAUGCAAAAAAACACAUUUUCAAUUCACACGUACACGUGUACAUUCUAAUUAAGUGACCAGAGGGUAGAGGAUGGGACAUGGUUAAUAUGUUUUUUGAAAACCUGUGACCUGAGGAAAGGUUCUUUGUGUGUUUUCUAGAGGAGCCAGCCCAUUAAUAUGACACUGGUCUGUUUGAUCUUGGUGUUUACUUCUGGUGUUGGUUUUAUUUUAUGAAGACUAAACAUAAUCGAGUGCUGUAUCUGGACAGAUCUCGCCAAAACAAACUGACAAAGCUAUAGUAUUACAGAUUAUGUUUCCCCUCCCUUAUCAACUCUUCUAAUUCAUGUAACCUACUCAUAACCACUUUCAACUAUACUGAGCAAAUAUAUAUUUAAAUUAUGUAAAGUGUUGGUCCCAUGUUUUUUGAGUAAAAAGUAAAAAGAUCCCGGAAAUGUUCCAUAUGUACAAAAAGUUUAUUUCUCUUAAAUUUGUUUACACCCCUGUUAGUGAGUAUUUCUCCUUUGACAGUAUAAUCCAUCCACCUGACAGGUAUGGCAUAUCAAGAAGCUGAUUAAACAGCAUGAUCAUUACACAGGUAAUGACAAUAAACGGCCACUCUAAAAUGUACAGUUUUUCCACACAACACAAUGCCACAGACAUCUCAAGUUUUGAGCGUGCGUGCAAUUGGCAUGCUGACUCCAGGAAUGUCCAACAGAACUGUUGCCAGAGAAUGUAAUGUUAAUUUCUCUACCAUAAGCCGCCACCAACUUAAUUUUAGAGAAUUAGGCAGUACAUCCAACCGGCCUCAAAACCGCAGACCACGUGUAACCAUGUCAGCCCAGGACCUCCACAUCUGACUUCUUCACCUACGGGAUCGUCUGAGGAGGGGGAGGGGGAGGGGGGGGGGUGCUGAGGUGUAUUUCUGUCUGUAAUGAAGCCCUUUUGUUGGGAAAAACUCAUUAUGAUUAGCUGGGCCUGGUUCCCCAGUGGGUGGACCUGGCUCCCUCGUGGGUGUUCCCAUGCCUUCCCAGGCCCACCCAUGGUUGCGCCCCUGCCCAGUCAUAUGUUUGGUUCACUUCCUCAUCUAGUCGCAGGCUGUCAAAGACAAUCAUAUUAAGAAAUUAAAUGCUUGUCCAAGAUCUGUUAUGCUAGAUGUUUAUUUGCUAUUUUUAUCUUCCCGUUCAGCCUGUUCUCUCUCCCCCCUGUUAUGUAACAGACUGGUUAACAUUGGUUUGUCUUCUUUCUUAAGACCAUAGGGAGUCAGGAUAUACUGAUUUAGAGUGUUGUACAAUGUGUUGCUAUAGGAAUGUCAGUUGUGUUAUUCAAUGUGUCGCUAUAAGAAUGUCAGCUGUUUUAUACAAUGUGUUGCUAUAAGAAUGUCAGUUGUGUUAUACAAUGUGUUGCCAUAAGAAUGUCAGCUGUGUUGUACAAUGUGUUGCUAUAAAAAUGUCAGUUGUGUUAUACAAUGUGUUGCCAUAAGAAUGUCAGCUGUGUUGUACAAUGUGUUGCUAUAAAAAUGUCAGUUGUGUUAUACAAUGUGUUGCUAUAGGAAUGUCAGCUGUGUUAUACAAUGUGUUGCUAUAAGAUUGUCAGCUGUGUCAUACAAUGUGUUGCUAUACGAAUGUCAGUUGUGUUAUACAACACGUUGCUAUAAGAAUGUCAGCUGUGUUAUAUGUUUUGCUUCCGUGUUGAUUUGUAGUGGGCAGCUACUGUAAGAACAAGCUCGAUGACUCGGAGGAGUGCCAACCCAACAGACACAUGCACACACAGACACACGCAGACACAAAGAGAAACACAAACACAUUCACAUACAGAACACUGGAUGGAACAUACCAUUUCCUGUUUAGAAUUCCGCAGCAGAACAUUUCGGAGUGAUGGUAGUGGUAGACGCAGCAGAGCAAGACCCUGGGAAGAGGCCGGUUGUCACCUUGGCCUUGGCACUGCUGUCCGGCUCAGGGUCAUGCCUGGGAACCUGUGGUGUCAGGAGCUCCUGUGGGAUCACAACUUGGAAUAUUAUGGGAAAAGGUGACUAUUGUUUCCCAGACAUCCUAUGCUGAUGUUUUACUGCUAUUUAACCCUUUGUAUCCACAAUCCAACUAGGUUUUCUGUGUGUGUGUGUCUUUCCCUCCCCCUUUCCCUCCCAUCAUUUACACUCCAUUCCCAUAUCCUGCUGCAUCACUGUUUCCUUUCAUUGUAUCCCUCCAGCCCACAGGUUCCACUUUACAUAUUCCCACAGGAGACUGCUGACCUGCUACUGACCCCUCUGACAGCUAACAUCAAUCUGACAUUUAGAUCAGCAGAUGGAUGCCUGGAUGGAUGGAAGAACAGAAGGACGUACAGUUGAAGUGGGAAGUUUACAUACACUUAGAACAUUUUCCCCAGGAUUCCAAUGUUUACCAACGACCAAAUGAAGCAUUCAAAGAAAACAAGAACCUCCAAAGGGGAGGAUCGAUAGUGCUGUGGCGACACUUUGCUGCCUCUGGUACUGGGGGCCUUGAAUGUGUGCAAGACAUCAUGAAAACGGUUUUCUGUCCAUGUCAAACAAAGCGUGCAGGUUGAAUGCUAUUUUUCACACACACACACACACACACACACACACACACACACACACACACACACACACACACACACACACACACACACACACACACACACACAC